GAAUAAUAGUUAAAAAGACUGAAUUUAUCCAAAACUUCAUGUGUCCUUUAUUUAUGUACAAACACACAUAUAUAUGCUAUCUAUAUAUAUAUAUUUUCAUCAUAUGUACACUUUAUAUCACUUUACUUUCUUUCUUCCUCAACUUUACAAAUACAAAUAUAACGUAUAAUGUGCAAUAUGUGCUCUCGACAUCAGCAAUAUUUUUAAACAGAUUAUGUGCGUAAAUAUCAAAAAGUCACCUCUCUUAGAACAAAUUUCUGUUAUGUUUAUUUCAAUUAAUUAAUUUUUUUUUGUUAGGUUAAUCAUGAUUGGCAAGAAGGUGGAAUUUUGCUUCAAAUCUGGAUAUAGAAAUAUAGAGAUUUAUAAGACAUGAGAGCACAUUUGCCCAAAUUAAAAGGUAAAAAAUAUUUUAUACAUAAAUCAUAAUUGAUAAAAAAAAGUUCCCAAUUUGUUUAUUAAUAAAAAUUUCUUACACUGCUAACAUAGUUCAAUAGUAAACUUUAUUUACAGUCUCAACUCAUCUUAAAAGUUACUAUAUAAUCUUUUAAAAAAUUGUUCAUUUUUUUUACCCGUUAUAUUACAAUUUUUUGAAUUAUCACAACAAUGCAAUGUACACUUGCCAUUCAUUUAAAUCCGAGUUUCUUCCAUUUACACGCGAAUAAAUAGAACGGUUGCAAUUUCUUUUUUGCAAUCUAACAUUUUCUCUGUAAACAGGGAAAAAUCAUUCUAUUCUACAAGAGGUUUGCAUUUGUUUUUUGGGUAUCUGAAACAUAAAAUUACUAUGUUGGACUUUAAUUACCUAUGAAAAUGGCCAGUUAAAAUGAAAAUGUAUAACGUAGACUAGCCUAGAAUUAUAUACAGAUUCAUGCCUAUACAAUGUUCCUGGGAGCUUCCCUGGCAAAUAAAAUUGACUAGAUCAACUUCCUCAACGUACAUCUCAAAUCACAGCGAUAAAUUCAAACCCGAUGGUCAGAAAAUGAUUAUCUCUUCAUGAGCUGAUGACCCGUAAAUUUUGGCACAUGCACAUUUAUAAUCACCGUUAAGCAUUAUCUAAUUGGGGAGGAAGGGGUCCAUCUCUCAAAUUGUGAUAUGUCGAUUAUAUAACAAUCUCAAUAUCAAAAAAGGUUUGUCAAAUUUUUAAAUAUAGAUUUUUCUUUUGCUUUCUAGGUAAAGAAGUUAGUGCGAUUGACAGGACAGGUUCUUAUAAAAACAGCAGUUAAGUCAAAAAACUGUUAACUUUUUUUUUUCUGGGACGAUACUGAUGAGGAUGAGGCUUAGGUAUGGAGUCAGAGAAAUUCACCACUGAAGAUGGCGAGAUAGGUGAUUGUCUACAGGAGUGAGGGUGGACAGAUCAAAAUGAUCAGAAACAGUCAAAUCUCAGUAACAGAGUCAAUCGUUAAUAACAGUUCAAAAAUACAAAUUGGUGACCCGGACAAUCGUCCACGAAACGUUUGUUUUUACAGAAAACGUUUUAUCGUCUUCACAACGAACAUGGCCCGACUCACGCCUUUUGUCGGAUCUCGGCCGCUGGACUGGACAUAUUUUUGUCUAAAAUGGCAGUCCGCCUACAGAGGAGAUCGUCGCAACUCGCAGCCACGUAAGUGUAAAGCUAACUAAACUUUGAAGUUCAGAUUUACAGGUCUGGUUCGAGAAAGUUGAAGCCCAAUUCCACUGGCCAAAAUUACAAACUCAACAACUAAAAUAAAUUACCUGUUAUCAACCAUCGAACCAGACAGAAUUCUCGGACAUAUACGGUAGGGUUCACACCAGAGCGAUAAGAUAUCUUUAGGUAAGCGAUGUACGAUAAUUGUCUUGCUGGAUACGCAACGCUCUGGCCUAUAAAAAACGUGAAGGAACGACAAAAUUAGUUCACACCUGUAGGAUUGCGACCUGUGUCUAAGAUAGACUGUCUGCUUGUCUCUUCCUUAAUCCUUCAGUGUCGUACGAUAUUGGGAAGGGUGAAGAUGGCAAAUUCAAAGAGUGAGGACAUUGGCUUUGUGUUAGGCCGGCUCAUGUCUUAUGAACCUCACCUAUCUUAGGAUAAAAAGCUAAUGUUUCUGCGAUAUAUAGCUUACCGCUCAGGUGUCAACCCGGCCUUGAGAAACCAAAAAACACGUAAUUAUACGACCAAGAUUCGGCGAAAUCUAAGAGGAUAAAUUAAAUCAACUUUUAGCACCUUUACACGUAGGUGACAAAACUCCAUCUCAAUUAUUAAGUGAAAUUCAAAGACUAGCAGAGGAGGCGUCGGUGGCCGC